rnacentral:misc_RNA from 1 species
AAGUCGUAACAAGGUCUCCGUUGGUGAACCAGCGGAGGGAUCAUUACCGAGUUUCAACUCCCAAACCCCUGUGAACAUACCAAUCGUUGCCUCGGCGGGAGAGCCCCGGGCGUUGGCGAAAGCCUCGCACCGGUAUCAGGCGCCCGCCGGAGGACCCAAACAAACUCUUGAAUUCUAAAGUAUCUUCUGAGUAACAUAAGUUAAAUAAGUUAAAA